UCAAGAAUCUUCCACAAUGGCCGAAAGGCUGAUGGAGCGACGUCGCGUGUAUGAAGACGCCCUUCGGGGUGUAAAGUGCUUUUCUCUGGGAAGAAACAAUGACGGUACCAGAGGAAUAAGGAGCUGCUAACCUCGUGCCAGCAGCAGCGGUAAUACGAGGGCUCCGAGCGUUAUCCGGAUUCAUUGGGCGUAAAGCGCGGGUAGGCGGUUCGCCGCAUCUUCUGUUAAAUCUUCGGGCUCAACCCGGGGGCUGCGGAAGAGAUGGGCGGACUCGAGACAGGAAGAGGCAAGCGGAAUUGCUGGUGUAGGGGUUAAAUCCGUUAAUAUCAGCAGGAACACCAAAUGUGAAGACAGCUUGCUGGGACUGUUCUGACGCUGAACUGCGAAAGCGUGGGGAGCG
rnacentral:rRNA from 1 species